rnacentral:rRNA from 1 species
UCUCAGUUCGGAUUGUAGUCUGCAACUCGACUACAUGAAGCUGGAAUCGCUAGUAAUCGCGAAUCAGAAUGUCGCGGUGAAUACGGUUCCCGGGUCUUGUACACACCGCCCGUCACACCAUGGGAGGUUGGUAACGCCCGAAGUCAGUGACCCAACCAAUAGGAGGGAGCUGCCGAAGGCGGGACCGGUAACUGGGGUGAAGUCGUAACAAGGUACC